CACCCGCAAACAGCCACACAUACCUAUAUACUCGAUAUAAUCUUUUAGAUUAGAAUCUCUUCUUUCAAACAAGACCAUUUUUUUACGUUUCUGCGUGCUUCCAUUGGUGAGAUAUAAAGCGUUAUGUCCAGACGCGCUCAAAGAGAAAGACGCAGUUCUUUGAGACAGAAGCGCUCUUCAUGUCAUAAGAUGUGCCUAAGCGGCUUUCUUCUGAUAUAUCGAUCGGAUCUCUUUUGUGAACCACUAUUUGUCCCUUCAGCUGUCAGUCUGAGCUGUGUGCUCCACUCAGAGCUGCUGAAUUUGACACCUCUGCGUCAACAGCGGGGGGAUGGAGUGGACAGUGAUGACCACAUCCUCCUCAGCCGGUGAAGCACUGGCUGAUGGGAUAUUGAGUCCUCAAGUGUCCGUAAACAAAGAUCACACGCGGAAUAACUCGCGUCGCGGUGAUUAUCAAAUGUAUAAUAAUCAUACUACAAGUUAUGGAUGACCACCGUCGCCGUGGAGAGGACAGGACGCGCAUCUGGUCGUGUACAAGCUUCGGGUAGCGGAUUAUCGCUGAUAAUGCGUCAAAACAACAGAAGGGACACUGGAAUAUGAAAUAUUACAGAUGAUUGAGACAGGUAAGAUCUCCCAAUCAUUACACCAAUGCAGAAUGGACAUAAAUGAAAUGAUAUGAAGCUGGAGAUUGUGGAUUCUAUUUUAGAUUGUGAUAGACCAGAUAUAUUUAAUAAUUUAAAGCAGUUUGCUAGUUUGCAGUGUGACUUAUCCUCUUUCAAAGUCUGUUCUGAAAACACACACACA